rnacentral:tRNA from 1 species
CUCUCUGUAUAGCUCAGUUGGUUAGAGCACUGCACCGGAAUCGCAGGGCCGCAGGUUCGAUUCCUGUCAGAGGGC